CUCCAACUGGGGCGACUUGUGGAGGGUGGUUCCUGGGACAACGCCCAUGCCGUGAUCAGGAACGGGGUCAGCAGGAGUCAGGUGGGGAAGUGCCAGGUGUCCACUGCCACGACCAACACGUUACUCACACUCACGGCACAAGAAUGGCCUCUGUACCCUGUGUGUAGGCAUAUCCAGGCACAGUCGCUUGUAUGUCUGAGACCUCAAGCUGGAGAGUGCUGAUGGCCAACAUGCUGGUCACCUCUCCACAGUCCUUCCUCCUCCUGGACAACACCCCUGCUCUCUCUGGAUGGUCCUGAGCUAAGCCCGGAAGAGUCAAGGCUAUAAAGAGGGACUGAGAACACCGUGACGCCCUGGCCUGCGCACCCUCCUCUGCUCCAUCUGGGUCUGUCCGGAUGGCAGAGGCUCAGAGGGUCUGCCCCUACCAGAUGGUGGAGGCUCAGAAUGUCUGAGCCAGAAAAAGCAUGAAAGAAAACUUAGCCUUCCUCCUCCCAGUUAACAGAACAUCGGGAGGGGUGAGGAGAGAAGGCCCAGGAGGAGGGGCGUCCUUCCCAGGCAGCUGUCACAGGCCCCUAGCUGAGCUCUCAUGGCAGACACAGCCCAGGACACUCAGACCCAGAGUGACUACGAGCCCCGGCAAGACGUGGAGGAGCAGAGUUACAACCCGUCAAGAGCCUGAUUUCAGGUUGAAACCAGGCUUCACCAUGCAGCAGCUGUGUGGCCUCAGGGAAGUUACUGAACCCCUCUGAGCCUCCCAUGGAAAAUAAGGAUGAUGGUUCCCCUCACAGGGUUGUCGGGAGGAUUCAGUGUCCUCCUUCAGGUCUUGACUCGGAUGUUGCCUCUGAGUGAGGGCGUCUUUGGCCACCCCAUUUAAAGUGCCAACCCUGACACUUCCUCCCUCCUUUCCCCUCUGUCCUCUUCCUGGCUCUUAUCACCAUCAGACAAACCAAGUUUUCACUUCUUGAUCAUUGUCCAGCCCCUGCUGUGAAAUGUGAAGUCCUAAGACACAGGCUUUUUUUGUUUGUUACGUUCAUUGCUUUAGAAGGAAUUAAGGACAAGCUACCCCAAAUGACGUCACUUUGGUAUAUGGAUUAUUUUGAGCUGCAGGCACUGGAGAAACAGCAGGUGCAGGCAGGGCCUUCGGACCUCCCCUUUUCUAACCAAGAACAGGCCAUGACAUUUCCCACGAGAUACACACUCCCUUUGUACCAGGAAGAGAACAUCCUUAUCACCAAACACUGGGAGUGGAUGCCGAGGUGCAUCUGCACAAACACACUUAAUAAAAUAACCCUUUGCUUCCACCAGUUUUACUCGUUUCUCCCCCACGAAUCUUCCAGUUCCUCCCCCACGAUUUACUGCCCCCAGUCCAAACCUUUUUGUCUCAUCAUUUCUUCACA
rnacentral:lncRNA from 1 species